ACCUGUUCCCGUGGCCCGAGUGCGGCCCACGGGGCAACGGACACACAUUGUGCCUGGGAAGAUCUGGGCACUUCAGGGCGUU
rnacentral:sRNA from 1 species